rnacentral:sRNA from 1 species
CGGCCGCCGAGCCCAAGCUGUUCGGAGGCUUCAACUCCUCGGACACCGUCACCUCCCCGCAGAGGGCGGGCCCGCUGGCCGGUGGAGUGACCACCUUUGUGGCCCUCUAUGACUAUGAGUCUAGGACGGAGACAGACCUGUCCUUCAAGAAAGGCGAGCGGCUCCAGAUUGUCAACAACACAGAGGGAGACUGGUGGCUGGCCCACUCGCUCAGCACAGGACAGACAGGCUACAUCCCCAGCAACUACGUGGCGCCCUCCGACUCCAUCCAGGCCGAGGAGUGAGUACCGUCUCUGGCUGCCUCUACCCGUCGUCCCUGGACACUGCCGGUGCAGAGUGCCUCUCCUGGGCUGGGGUGGGAGGUCUGGCUGUCCAGCGCCCCAGCCAUAUCCAGGGAGAAGCACUGUGAGUGGGCAGAAGCCCGGACAGUCAGCACCAUCCUCCGUCCUCCCACCCCCAGG